GACGAACGCUGGCGGCGUGCUUAACACAUGCAAGUCGAACGGAAAGGCCCUGCUUUUGUGGGGUGCUCGAGUGGCGAACGGGUGAGUAACACGUGAGUAACCUGCCCUUGACUUUGGGAUAACUUCAGGAAACUGGGGCUAAUACCGGAUAGGAGCUCCUGCUGCAUGGUGGGGGUUGGAAAGUUUCGGCGGUUGGGGAUGGACUCGCGGCUUAUCAGCUUGUUGGUGGGGUAGUGUCUUACCAAGGCGUUGACGGGUAGCCGGCCUGAGAGGGUGACCGGCCACAGUGGGACUGAGAUACGGGCCAGACUGCUACGGGAGGCAGCAGUGGGGAAUUGUGCACAAUGGGCGGAAGCCGGAUGCAGCAACGCCGCGUGCGGGAGGACGGCCGUCGGGUUAUAAACCGCUUUCGCCUGUGACGAAGCGUGAGUGACGGUAAUGGGUAAAGAAGCACCGGCUAACUACGUG
rnacentral:rRNA from 1 species